GUCUUCCCUGAUCAGAGGAAUUAACAAGUUGUAGUUAGGUUCUUCAACAAAUAUGAUGAGACACUCAAGAUACACACAGAAAUCAGCAAGGAGUUUUUUCACACCAA